CAGAAAUGAAACUCGUAUCGCUGCUCUUGGCUUGUUUGAGUAAUUGCGCUGCUCAGCCAGCUGUCAACUAAUGAUCUCGUUCAGGCCUCACCUGCCGAUAAACUUGCCAUCAAGGAGCCAUGGAAUCAUGAGAAUAAUUCAACAACCCACAAACCUCCGUAUAAGAUCUCUGACGACAUUUAGAGGGCAAACAAUUGCUUAUGAUUGUCUUACGCAUUAAAUAAAAAUCAAGUUCACAAUAUGCUGUAGAUGAAUUUUAUUUGAACUAUGAAACCCUACUUAGUUGAAAGGAUAUGUAAAAAAAAUAAGAUAAAAUAAAAUAAAAUAAAAGUCA
rnacentral:misc_RNA from 1 species